UACGUAGGGGGCAAGCGUUGUCCGGAUUUAUUGGGCGUAAAGAGCGUGUAGGCGGCCAGGUAGGUCAGCUGUGAAAACUCGAGGCUCAACCUCGAGCUGUCGGCUGAAACCAUCUGGCUAGAGUCCGGAAGAGGAGAAUGGAAUUCCCGGUGUAGCGGUGAAAUGCGCAGAUAUCGGGGAGAACACCCGUGGCGAAGGCGGUUCUCUGGGACGGUACAGACGCUGAGACGCGAAAGCGUGGGGAGCGAACAGG
rnacentral:rRNA from 1 species